rnacentral:pre_miRNA from 1 species
GUGUGACUGAAGUGUGAGAUGUUGGAUGUGUGACUGGAUUGUGAGAUGUUGGAUGUGUGACUGAAGUGUGAGAUGUUGGCAAGUCACACAUCCAACAUCUCACACUUUAGUCACAC